CUGAAAUCACAGAGACGUUUGAAUUUGAUUUGUGUUGCUGAGUGGUGCUUGCUGGACACUACUGGAUUUUUAGGACACUAUACAAUUUUCUGCCCCGUUGAAAAAGAUCCUAUAAGAACAAUGGCAUUAGGUAGACGUACUCAAAAUAGGACGGUGGCAGGCCUGUCUCCCUUUCCUCCUUUCGUGCUAUUUGACGAUAUUCAAGAUGUCAAUAACUUACCACAAGUAAAAAGUGUCUUUGCGAGGGUAGUUGUUAAGUUCCCUAGGCGUCGUAAUAGUCAACACUACAUCCUACAGGACAUCACUGGCUCCAAAAUCGAAGCAAUAUCUAACGACAUUAAUGUCCAACGGUUCGAUGCCUUACUCACACAAGGAUGCACAUAUACAUUGUAUAGAGUGGCAUUCUGUCUAAACCGGGAGGAACUUCAAUUUCGCAAUAUUGGUCAUGGGCUAGAGUUGGGAUUGAUAACACAUACUAUUGUGGAUCCAUUCACGAAGCCAAUCCAAUUUCCUCCAUUUCCAAAGUAUCUUAUGCCAUUUCAUGAGGUUUACCAACAACCGCAUAAGACAUUCAUAGAUGUUAUUGGCAUAGUUCUUCAUUUGGAACCAUUAAAGCAUAUCGGUGGAAGACCGUAUAGAGAAGUUGUACUAAUGGAUUCUAGGUGGCACUAA
rnacentral:misc_RNA from 1 species